GAUGAGAACGCAGCGAAAUGCGAUAAGUAAUGUGAAUUGCAGAAUUCAGUGAAUCAUCGAAUCUUUGAACGCACAUUGCGCCCGCCAGCAUUCUGGCGGGCAUGCCUGUUCGAGCGUCAUUUCAACCCUCGAGCCCCCCCGGGGGCCUCGGUGUUGGGGGACGGCACACCAGCCGCCCCCGAAAUGCAGUGGCGACCCCGCCGCAGCCUCCCCUGCGUAGUAGCACACACCUCGCACCGGAGCGCGGAGGCGGUCACGCCGUAAAACGCCCAACUUUCUUAGAGUUGACCUCGGAUCAGGUAGGAAUACCCGCUGAACUUAAGCAUAUCAAUAAGCGGAGGA
rnacentral:misc_RNA from 1 species